AUAUGUGUCACCUGGGAGGUCUUGUUAAAAAGCAGAUUCUGAUGUAGUAAGUCUGGGGUAGGGAUUGAGUUUCUGCAGUUCUAACAAGCUCCCAGGUGAUGCUGCU
rnacentral:pre_miRNA from 1 species